CGUGGCCACAUCCCUCUUGCUGCCAGAGAAACCCCAUGGCCAGGCUGAGUAACCCCAUGCCCAGGGCAGGGGAGUGAGCUCAGCUCUGGGUCGCAUUCAGCACUGCACCAGCCCUUUGUACAGCAUGCGUCCACAGGUGCACCGGGGAAGGCGGUGAUGUGCUGAUGGCUGUGGGGCUGGAAGAAGGCACAGUGAUCGCUAUAGGGCCACGGGGGGACCUGCAGCUGUCCUGUGCAGGACUCACCGCAGCACAGGAUCUGCUGGUGUCAGCUGCCAAAGGUUCCAUCACGGAGGGGGCUGUGCCCGGAGGAAGGCACGCAAGGAGAGCUGCAUCCCUGUGGGGGUGCUGCCUGCUGCCCCCAGCUUGGACUCCCGCUUCCGCUUGGAGCCCUUUGCACGGCCGCUCUGCACCCCACGCUGAGUCUCCCGUGCCUUCAG
rnacentral:lncRNA from 1 species